AUUGAACGCUGGCGGCAGGCCUAACACAUGCAAGUCGAGCGGAUGAAGGGAGCUUGCUCCUGGUUUCAGCGGCGGACGGGUGAGUAAUGCCUAGGAAUCUGCCUGGUAGUGGGGGAUAACGUCCGGAAACGGGCGCUAAUACCGCAUACGUCCUGAGGGCGAACGUGGGGGAUCUUCGGACCUCACGCUAUCAGAUGAGCCUAGGUCGGAUUAGCUAGUUGGUGGGGUAAAGGCCUACCAAGGCGACGAUCCGUAACUGGUCUGAGAGGAUGAUCAGUCACACUGGAACUGAGACACGGUCCAGACUCCUACGGGAGGCAGCAGUGGGGAAUAUUGGACAAUGGGCGAAAGCCUGAUCCAGCCAUGCCGCGUGUGUGAAGAAGGUCUUCGGAUUGUAAAGCACUUUAAGUUGGGAGGAAGGGCAGUAAGUUAAUACCUUGCUGUUUUGACGUUACCAACAGAAUAAGCACCGGCUAACUUCGUG
rnacentral:rRNA from 1 species